GCAUUCUCUGAAGCAGUUGAGUCAGUAGAUUCUGGAUGUUGGUGUUGACUGUGUCCUGUUGAUCCAAUCUGGCUCGGACUUCCUUCUGCUCUUUCUGAAGCUCCUCAAGGGUCUUGAGAACUAGAGGGGCAAAUGUAGAGGACUCCCCCUGAGUCAGAGCAUUCUGUUCUUCAGCGCGGAGAGCUUCAGCUUCAGUAGUGGCUUUAGCUUUAGCUUCAACAGUAACUCUUGC
rnacentral:lncRNA from 1 species